rnacentral:rRNA from 1 species
CCGUAGGGUGACCUGCGGAGGGAUCAUUACCGAGUUUACAACUCCCAAACCCCUGUGAACAUACCAAUUGUUGCCUCGGCGGAUCAGCCCGCUCCCGGUAAAACGGGACGGCCCGCCAGAGGACCCCUAAACUCUGUUUCUAUAUGUAACUUCUGAGUAAAACCAUAAAUAAAUCAAAACUUUCAACAACGGAUCUCUUGGUUCUGGCAUCGAUGAAGAACGCAGCAAAAUGCGAUAAGUAAUGUGAAUUGCAGAAUUCAGUGAAUCAUCGAAUCUUUGAACGCACAUUGCGCCCGCCAGUAUUCUGGCGGGCAUGCCUGUUCGAGCGUCAUUUCAACCCUCAAGCCCCCGGGUUUGGUGUUGGGGAUCGGCGAGCCCUUGCGGCAAGCCGGCCCCGAAAUCUAGUGGCGGUCUCGCUGCAGCUUCCAUUGCGUAGUAGUAAAACCCUCGCAACUGGUACGCGGCGCGGCCAAGCCGUUAAACCCCCAACUUCUGAAUGUUGACCUCGGAUCAGGUAGGAAUACCCGCUGAACUUAAGCAUAUC